rnacentral:sRNA from 1 species
CUGAGCUAAAUCCCCAACCCGCGGGAGCCAUGUUCUAAAGAAUUAAUUUUCUCCCCGUUAACAGAGGGCAGAAUGGUAACUCUCAUGCCUGCUUGCCCAACUCAACCACCCAUGCCUCAUAGGAGAAUCGCUCCCGUCUUAAUCAGUGUCUUCCCGCGAGACCGUAAGCUCCAUGGCAUCAGGGCAGUGUCUUCUCACGGAUCGGGCAUCAGCCUGGUGCCUGACCCCACGGGAGACAGGUGCCCAGCCUCCUUCGCGUUCUCACAUUUUGCUAAAGCUUUGUUGCAUCAACUGCAUUUGUGUGCACAGCUCUGAAGGAGCCAGGGCUCGGCAAGAGAAGUUAAAUAGUUAGCUGGGGUUACACAGGGCACGUCAGUGGAGCCAGACAGCAUUCUUAUCAUGUAUAAGUCAACAAGGAACCAGGGUGCACUCUCAGCCAGCUCCAUGACCUCUGACCCCACAGAGCAAGCCGGGAACUCACAGACCCCAUUCAGGCUCGGCAUAUCCGACCUCAGAACCUUCUUAUCGUCUCCCAGCCAAUCCACAUCAAGGGGUCCGGUUCCUGCUGGACUAGGGGCCUGGGCAAGGUCUUCACCUCCCCAGCCUUGUUUAUCUAAAAGGAACAGAGUCACUGACCUCAUUUGCAUAACUCUCUGGACAAAGGUGUCACCAUAUAGUCCAGGAUGGCUUGCUGGAGUUCCAGGCCCAUUGUCACAUCCGGCUUCUCCUCUUAAAUACCCGAAUCCCCUCGGUGUGUCCGGGUUUGAACUCUUGCAGUGUUAAAGAGAAGGCUGCCUGGACGGAGGGAUUGAGACCCAGGCAGAACACCUGAGGUGCAUAUUUAACAUACCAAAAGUCUACCUGGCUUCCAGGUUCUCCCAGAAAACCUCAGUCCCUUCCUGCUAUGGAGCACCAAGGAUGGCAUACCCCACCCUCUGCCCCGAACUUUCCAGCUGGGCUUCCCCUCCCCCACAAGCUCAUCCCUACAUAAUCCAGACAUUUUGGACCCUCCCACCCCACCCUUCUGCA